rnacentral:rRNA from 1 species
AGUAAUGUCUGGGAAACUGCCUGAUGGAGGGGGAUAACUACUGGAAACGGUAGCUAAUACCGCAUAACGUCUUCGGACCAAAGUGGGGGACCUUCGGGCCUCACGCCAUCGGAUGUGCUCAGAUGGGAUUAGCUAGUAGGUGGGGUAAUGGCUCACCUAGGCGACGAUCCCUAGCUGGUCUGAGAGGAUGACCAGCCACACUGGAACUGAGACACGGUCCAG